GGAAGAUGCAGCUGCAUCCCUAAAAUGGCUGCACUGUGGAAGACUGCAGAUCGUGCUGCUUUUCCCCAGCUGGCAUUAAAGGAUGUGUCUUUUUGGCUACUGCUCUGCUGGAGCUGAAACUUUCCCAAAACUCACAGCUAAGCAGUUCAGUGUGUGUUGCGUGGGACAGCUACAGAAUUCCAAUUACUGCAACGGUAAUAGAAGUCAAUAUCCUGAAUCCCAGGCUUGUGACCAGCCACUGAACCAGUAGCCAGAGGACAGGAGUGCUCCAAGCAGCAGUAGCGAAUGUAAACCAGUAAACCUACCCAGAGGAAAAUGGAGAAGUACACUCAAAGAUAGCGUUUGCUUAAGUCACAGUGCAAAGUCUCAGUGACACAACUCCACAUUUUUAUUUUGCACUUGAGAUUGUCUCAAAUAUUUCCAGUUGAUGGUAAAUGCUGCCUUCUGUAACAAGUUCUCCUGAAGCCUUACGUGAUCAUCAUGAUUACAAGGUAAAUCUCAUAAUCAGAGACUCUUCUAAAUGCUGAAGGAUUGCUGGGAUUCAGAAGGGUCUAUCUCACCUUACAUGUGACU